rnacentral:lncRNA from 1 species
GUCGGUGGAGGCCAGAAGGUCAGGUGGCUCAAGAAGGAAAUGGAGAAAUAUGCGAGUCAGGAGGACAUGAUCAUCAUGUUUGUGGACAGGUAAGGGGGUCUGGCGUGGAAAGAGAGGGGAAACUGUUUUGGAGAGAGGACACAAGACUGAGGCUCCCUUUUCCUUGCACAGCUACGAUGUGAUUCUGGCGAGCAGCCCAACAGAGCUGCUGAAGAAGUUUGUUCAGAGUGGCAGUCAUCUGCUGUUCUCCGCUGAGAGCUUCUGCUGGCCUGACUGGGGGCUGGCAGAGCAGUACCCUGAGGUGGGCGUGGGGAAGCGCUUCCUCAACUCUGGUGGAUUCAUUGGCUUCGCUCCCACCAUCCAUCGGAUUGUCCGCCAGUGGAAGU